rnacentral:rRNA from 1 species
GAUGAACGCUGGCGGCGUGCCUAAUACAUGCAAGUCGAGCGAACAGACGAGGAGCUUGCUCCUCUGACGUUAGCGGCGGACGGGUGAGUAACACGUGGAUAACCUACCUAUAAGACUGGGAUAACUUCGGGAAACCGGAGCUAAUACCGGAUAAUAUAUUGAACCGCAUGGUUCAAUAGUGAAAGACGGUUUUGCUGUCACUUAUAGAUGGAUCCGCGCCGCAUUAGCUAGUUGGUAAGGUAACGGCUUACCAAGGCAACGAUGCGUAGCCGACCUGAGAGGGUGAUCGGCCACACUGGAACUGAGACACGGUCCAGACUCCUACGGGAGGCAGCAGUAGGGAAUCUUCCGCAAUGGACGAAAGCCUGACGGAGCAACGCCGCGUGGGUGAUGAAGGUCUUCGGAUCGUAAAACUCUGUUAUUGGGGAAGAACAAAUGUGUAAGUAACUAUGCACGUCUUGACGGUACCUAAUCAGAAAGCCACGGCUAACUACGUG